AACGAACGCUGGCGGCAGGCCUCAAACAUGCAAGUCUAGGGGGUGCAGCAAUGCAUCACCGGCGGACGGGUGCGUAACGCGUGGGAAUAUACCUAUUGGUUCGGAACAACUGCGGGAAACUGCAGCUAAUACCGAAUGUGCCCUAACGGGGAAAGAUUUAUCGCCAAUGGAUUAGCCCGCGUAGGAUUAGCUAGUUGGUGGGGUAAUGGCUCACCAAGGCUCCGAUCCUUAGCUGUUCUGAGAGGAAGAUCAGCCACACUGGGACUGAGACACGGCCCAGACUCCUACGGGAGGCAGCAGUUGGGAAUCUUGGACAAUGGGGGAAACCCGUGAUCCAGCCAUGCCGCGUGAGUGAUGAAGGCCUU
rnacentral:rRNA from 1 species